rnacentral:misc_RNA from 1 species
AAUGAAGAACGUAGCGAAAUGCGAUACGUAAUGUGAAUUGCAGAAUUCAGUGAAUCAUCGAGUCUUUGAACGCACAUUGCGCCCCCUGGUAUUCCGGGGGGCAUGCCUGUCCGAGCGUCAUUGCUGCCCUCAAGCACGGCUUGUGUGUUGGGCCUCCGUCCUCCUCCCGGGGGACGGGCCCGAAAGGCAGCGGCGGCACCGCGUCCGGUCCUCGAGCGUAUGGGGCUUCGUCACCCGCUCUUGUAGGCCCGGCCGGCGCUUGCCGACACAUCAAUCUUUUUUCCAGGUUGACCUCGGAUCAGGUAGGGAUACCCGCUGAACUUAAGCAUAUCAAUAAGCGGAGGA